AGACAAACCUCACACCUUGUGGACCAGCUUGGUGGCAACAAUAAAACACCUGCUGUGGUAGAAUUCAAGGCAGACACUGCUGCUUCUCGUCAAAGACCAGACACACACACGUAUACAAAAUGUGAGUCUGCAGAGACUGUAGUCAAAGCAGAAGUGGCGGCGCGGUCCGUUAGACAUCCUGAGGCUGGAACAUGUCCAUCACAACAAGAGCUAAGUGUUCCAAGCGACCUUCGACUACUGAAAACGGGGAAGGAGCUGGCAGCAGCAGCGCAGUUUCAGGUAACCUUAUGGCACCGUCCCCCACAGCUGUGCGGUCAGCCAAGAAAUUGCGCACACAGACCAAGGAAAAAGAUGGUGCACAAUCCAAAAGAAAUAGAGGAGUUGAUAAAAGCGAAGGAGGACCUGUUGGCAGAACAAACAAAUUUUAAUCUGUAUUAACAGUGUUUUGAAUGUGAGGGCUGUUGAAAAGCACUUCAAUCUUAUUGCUAUAUGUUGUUUUGUAGCACAUUGGUUGUUGUUUGUUUUAAUGAAAUGUUUUAUACUCUUAUACUCUGUACUCCUAAUUCUGACCCUGUUUGAUGCACUUUUAAUAAUGUCUUAAUCAUAUACAAAUGUUGUACAACUUUAGUUAUAAAUGGUUUUAUAAUCAUUUACAAAUGUAUAUAAAUGGUUUAUUCAUGAUUAGUUCAAUAUCUAAUAAUAGCAUAUAAAUGUCUUGUAACUUAAGUAAUAAAUAUUUAAACAAUCAUUUACAAAUGUA